GAGGAUGAGAAUCUCCGGGGGCAAGAGGUUCGACUCGAGCGCAGCGAGAGAACGUUGCGUCAGCAACGGCCCGCAGGGCGAGCUACGCAGUGGCGAGUCAUCCUC
rnacentral:sRNA from 5 species